GUAUGUGAUAAUUAGUAUCCUUUGAUAUAUAAGAUUUCUUUUUCAUAAAUUUUUUUAUACCAAAUGUCAGUUAGGAGCAUCUUCAAAAGUGAAUUUUCUAGGUAGAAUUUCUAUUAGGAAACCAUUUUCUAUUUGUGACUGUGCUUGUUAUUUAUCUAUAUAUUUGCAGAUCUAUUACAAAUCUUGCCACUGGCAGUCGAAUGGGGUCUCAAUCAGCCCACAAUUUCAGAUAUCAAAGCUUAUAGAACCAUAAUGGUGAUAAAUUUAAUAAAUAAAGAAUGAUUAAUUUGUGGAUAUAGAUCUUGCUUCUCAUAUAUAGAUAGCAAACCCAGGUUUGGUUGGAGCCAUCACACUUAAGCUAAGUUUGAUGGUUAAUAUGUUUGAUGGAUUAGAGUUUUGGGAACAUUUAAACACCACAAUUUCAUUAAGGAAAUCAAGUGGGACUCAAGCAAAUAAGAUGGAGAAGGGGCCUAGUAGCACAUGUGCUAUCCUCAUACAGUUGUAGGAAAAUGAGUAAAGGGCAGCUGGUGGUUGAACUAAAAAUCAGUUUGACUUGCUUAUUAGGUUGCAACUUAACAAACUUUGAAUGUCUACAAAUCUAUGGUUGUCUCCAUUUACAGAGGGGACACAAGGAGAAAGGCGAUGCUUGGCACAAGAUUGCACACAUCUCAGACAUUCAAAUUGGAUGGCCACCUGAUUGUAAGCACCACUUCUUGCUCAACCUUAUCUUUGCUUUAUAACAUAUGAUUUUACCAAAUAAUGCCUUUAGUAACUAUUAAGCACUGUUUAGUGCUUUUGGGGUUGUAAAAUGACCCAAGCACGUG